rnacentral:tRNA from 1 species
GGGGUUGUGGCUCAGCGGUAGAGUGCUUACCCAGCACGAGUGGGGCCCUGGGUUUGAUCCUCAGCACCACA